rnacentral:rRNA from 1 species
UUUGUGCUUAAUUGAUAUGACGAGCUUGCUCUGAUUUGAUUUUUUGAUUUCAAAGAGUGGCGAACGGGUGAGUAACACGUGGGUAACCUACCUCUUAGCAGGGGAUAACAUUUGGAAACAAGUGCUAAUACCGUAUAAUACCAACAACCGCAUGGUUGUUGGUUGAAAGAUGGUUCUGCUAUCACUAAGAGAUGGACCCGCGGUGCAUUAGCUAGUUGGUAAGGUAAUGGCUUACCAAGGCAAUGAUGCAUAGCCGAGUUGAGAGACUGAUCGGCCACAAUGGGACUGAGACACGGCCCAUACUCCUACGGGAGGCAGCAGUAGGGAAUCUUCCACAAUGGGCGCAAGCCUGAUGGAGCAACGCCGCGUGUGUGAUGAAGGGUUUCGGCUCGUAAAACACUGUUAUAAGAGAAGAACGGCACUGAGAGUAACUGUUCAGUGUGUGACGGUAUCUUACCAGAAAGGAACGGCUAAAUACGUGCCAGCAGCCGCGGUAAUACGUAUGUUCCAAGCGUUAUCCGGAUUUAUUGGGCGUAAAGCGAGCGCAGACGGUUAUUUAAGUCUGAAGUGAAAGCCCUCAGCUCAACUGAGGAAUUGCUUUGGAAACUGGAUGACUUGAGUGCAGUAGAGGAAAGUGGAACUCCAUGUGUAGCGGUGAAA